rnacentral:rRNA from 1 species
CCUACGGGCGGCAGCAGUGGGGAAUAUUGCUCAAUGGGGGAAACUCUGAUGCAGCGACGCCGCGUGAGUGAAGAAGUACUUCGUUACGUAAAGCUCUAUCAGCAGGGAAGAAAAUGACGGUACCUGAGUAAGAAGCCCCGGCUAACUACGGGCCAGCAGCCGCGGUAAUACGUAGGGGGCAAGCGUUAUCCGGAUUUACUGGGUGUAAAGGGGGCGUAGACGGUGUGCCAAGUCUGGAGUGAAAUGCCGCAGCUUAACUGCGGAACUGCUUUGGAAACUGGCGAACUAGAGUGCGGGAGGGGUAAGCGGAAUUCGUAGUGUAGCGGUGAAAUGCGUAGAUAUUAGGAGGAACACCGGUGGCGAAGGCGGCUUACUGGACCGCAACUGACGUUGAGGCUCGAAAGCGUGGGGAGCAAACAGGAUUAGAUACCCCAGUAGUC